rnacentral:rRNA from 1 species
GACGAACGCUGGCGGCGUGCUUAACACAUGCAAGUCGAACGGAAAGGCCCUGCUUUUGUUGGUUGCUCGAGUGGCGAACGGGUGAGUAACACGUGAGUAACCUGCCCUUGCCUUUUGUAUAACUUCAGGAAACUGGGGCUUAUACCGGAUAGGAGCUCCUGCUGCUUGGUGGUGGUUGGAAAGUUUCGGCGGUUGUUGAUGUACUCGCGGCUUGUCAGCUUGUUGGUGGGGUAGUGGCUUACCAAGGCUUUGACGGGUAGCCGGCCUGAGAGGGUGACCGGCAAGACUGGGACUGAGAUACGGCCCAGAAGCCUACGGGAGGGAGCAGUGGGGAAUAGUGCAAAAUGGGCAGAAGGCUGAAGCAGUGAAGCCGCGCGCGGGAUGAAGGCCUUCGGGUUGUAAACCGCGUUUGCCUGGGAUGAAGCGGGAGUGACGGUAAUGGGAAAAGAAGCACCGGCUAACUACGUG